rfam:Gossypium raimondii Chr10_contig_50, whole genome shotgun sequence.
UGUUAAAAAUAUUAUUUAUUUCUAUUGUUAAAAAUUGAUGUAGUUAAUGGAAAGCAGUUACAUGUCGCAUGCCACGUAUAUCUCAUGCUGAUAUAUAGUGACCAAAUUUUAACAAUAGAAAUGGAUGAGAUUUUAACG